rnacentral:miRNA from 1 species
UAAGUUUGUUAUUGGUAUGAGCUUUUGUGUGCAUGCACACAAAAGCUCAUACCAAUAACAAACAUA